CAUCAUCCACACCACCAUCUCCAAACUCCAGACUCAACACCACAGUGCCCUCAUCAUCAAGUCGGGAGACUUUAACCACGUCACCUUGGAUAGAGUUCUGCCGACCUUCAAACAAUACGCAUGGAUGUACCUGGACGAGCUGCCGGGCCUGCCGAAGCUGUCUGGCCUGAGGAAGAUGCCCUCGAAUUCAGCCUGGACAUCGUCCAGUCUUACCCUAAGGCCGGGGCUAGAAAGAUUACAAAGAGAAAAGGGAGAAAGAGGACAACUGCUAUACUUACGACACCCCGAACUCUGAAGCAGCGUCGUCCCGCCAAGCAGCCUCCCUCCUCUCGGGCUCCCAAGAAGAGGCUCUUCUCGCCCGCUCCUGAUGCCGCCCCCCUUGCUGGAGUCACCCCUGGUGCCACCUCAGCUGCUCCUCCCACCAUCACCUGGCCCGCUGAUGGAGUCACCCCCACCUUGGGUCCAGUGUGAUUUUUGCUAUAAGUGGUCGCAUGAGGCUUGCACCGACGGGAGUACACACUACCUGUGUCACCUGUGUGACAAAGAAUAAAAAUAUUUAGCCUACUAUACUGUCCAUGUGUCUUCACUAGUUUGCAGUGGAAAUACUGUAAAUGUAGGCCGACAGCACAAUUCACUUAGCAUUAUAGACUGAUUAACUAACUAACUAUUAGGCCUGGGUUAGGCUAUGAGUGGGAGCUGGGCUAUUAAAUAUUUCGCUGGGUAGGCCUACUUUUCGUCCAUGAUUGUAACGCAUCCAAAAUAACAACGGCUACAUUAAAUUAUGAUAAUAAUAAUUGAAU
ensembl:lncRNA